rnacentral:rRNA from 1 species
UACGUAGGCGGAAGAUUAAGUCAGUGGUGAAAUCCUGCAGCUUAACUGUAGAACUGUCAUUGAUACUGGUUUUCUCGAAUUUAGUUGAGGUAGGCGGAAUGUGUAAUGUAGCGGUGAAAUGCUUAGAUAUUACACAGAACACCGAUUGCGAAGGCAGCUUACUAAACUAUGAUUGACGCUGAGGUACGAAAGCGUGGGGAGCGAACAGGAUUAGAUACCCUGGUAGUCC